AUACGUAGGGGGCGAGCGUUGUCCGGAAUUAUUGGGCGUAAAGCGCGCGUAGGCGGCCGGUUAAGUCCUGUGUGAAAGACCACGGCUCAACCGUGGGGGUGCACGGGAAACUGGCCGGCUUGAGUGCAGGAGAGGGGAGCGGAAUUCCCGGUGUAGCGGUGGAAUGCGUAGAGAUCGGGAGGAACACCAGUGGCGAAGGCGGCUCUCUGGCCUGUAACUGACGCUGAGGCGCGAAAGCGUGGGGAGCGAACAGGAUUAGAUACCCUGGUAGUCCACGCCGUAAACGAUGAGUGCUAGGUGUUGGGGGCAUCGGGCCCUCUGUGCCGAAGGAAACCCAAUAAGCACUCCGCCUGGGGAGUACGGCCGCAAGGCUGAA
rnacentral:rRNA from 1 species